CAAAGCAUAGUUUAAUAAAAUAAUAACUUUGGAAGUUAUAGAUCAAAUUUUCAAUUUUGUGCUCUGA
rnacentral:tRNA from 1 species